GGUGCAGGCAUGCCGAAUACUCGUACCAGGCACCGUUGACAGCCCCCUCACCACUAAUAUUACAAAUGAGGAGGCAGUGCAUAUGUCCACCAAGAUUAGGGAGGCUACUGCUGAGUGCCGCAUCUGUUCCCUGCAGCACGCCAAGCCUCCGUCUGCCUGACCACUGACCAUUUCACGGCGCUCAUCACUGGACCGCACCGCUAAUCAAACCAACGAUGAUGAUGGCUCGUCCCUGCUUUGUGGCUCUGCUGUGCGUGGCCCUGUGGUGCGGUGUGGUGUUCGGCCAGGAAGGUACCUCAGCUGCUGACCCCAAGCAGGACCCCACUCCGGACUCGGGCGCCACCCCUGCCCAGUCACCGAAGCAGAUGGCAGAUGCGGGGGGGCGUCCACGACUACUACUACUACUACUACCACCACCUCCAAGACCACGACCGAGGGAACCAACGCUGCUGGUGGCGAUGGCACACAUUCCUACACAACCCAAUGCCUGAACAAACCUGCUGGGAGGAAAACCACAUUUUGCACAGAAGAGGCUUCCUCCAGCACGGACGAGAACGGUGCGGCCACCCUGAGUGUGUCCUUGUCCUCCAUGAUGAUCGCCACUCUCCUCGCCAAGGUGUACGCCCACUGAAUGCCAGCCAUCCACCACUCCCUCCUCGAUAUCAUCAAAAGGCCUUAUUAACACCAGGCGCCGGGCGUUCCCGCUUGGCGCCUGAUAGCACAAAGUAGCGGAGAGAGAGAAAGAGAGAAAGAGAGAGUGAGUGAGUGAGUGUUGAAUCUCGAGGAUGACUUGAAAAAAAGAGUGACGUGGCCGCUUGUGACCCUCCCGUCCCCCGCUGUUCCUUGGGGGUUGUGGUUUAUAAACAGAGAGAAAAUAAUAAAAAGGAAACUUAGUGCACACUUCGUAAUGCAUAGAAUCACCUGGGUUUAAAAAGAUAAUAACAAUAAUAAUAAUAAUAAUAAUAAUAAUAAUAAUAAUAGUAAUAAUAAUAAUAAUGGAAGUCGAAGUUUUGCAGUGCCGUUCAAAUUUUACUAAAGCUUGUUUAUUAUAUAUAUAUCUUUGCCUUGCGCGUGUGUCUCUUUGUAUGUGUGAGUUUGUUUGUGUUGCGAGUGUCAAGUCAACACAACUCACAGAUCAGCUUCUUUUUGUUUUGUUUUAUCAGUGGGCCAUUGUCACCAUUCCAGUAGUGCCUCGUGUGGGCGUCAUUCUUUGUGAUCUGUUCCAAGUAUCGUGAUAUACAAGCACAACGUAUUAUUGGUUGUCUGGGUAAUAAUCCAAACAUGCACAACGCUUUCUGGGUAAAAAAAAAAAAAAAAUGUCCAUGUAAAAUUAUUGUAUGUACGCCGCAACCUGUCGCCUCCGUUAGUACUACGUAGCACGCCGCCGCCCGCGAGGUGUCCGUGGCAAUUAUUUAUUAUCAAUGCCACGUCAGCUUUGGCGGCGAGUCUCGAAAUGAAUCCAGCUUUCAUUGGUACUUAACAAAACAAAAAUCCCACAAAAAAAAAGUCAAAUAUCCGCACACGAGAUGUGACUGGGGAGCUGGCGCCCGGCUGCACCUUGGGGACCCGUUUGCUGAGUGGAUGUCCGCUUUUCCACUCCGAACUUGAGAUAGAGUAUUUCGAAGCGGAUUUCUUCGUUUCCACCCUGAAUCUGAGUCGUAUCACCAUAAGGAUAUCUGAGCAUCUGUCGAUUAUCAAAUGGAGUUUUUUUUUUUUUAUCUUUCCCUCUAAAUCCAAGUGAAUCGAAUUAUACCAAACGAAUUUCUUCACUUUGGCUUCAAAAUUAAGUAAAAGUCGUCCUUAUGAAAAAAAAAAAAAAAAAAAACACUAAGUUGUACUUCUUUCGGUACCUGGAGACCCUUCAAUAAAUAAACAGUACAAUGAUCCUGAACCAAACCUCAUAUUGAACCAAAGUGCAGAACCGGGAACCUUCUUCCGCGUGACUUCUUGUUUGUAGUUUUAUACUGUCCAGUGUUCGCUAAGGCUCAGUAUAGCCACUACCAGCCUUCCCUGUUGAUGCCAAAUUUCAUGCUUUCUACGAAGUCCAUGAUAAACCAGUCAAGUGUUUAUAGUAUUGUACCUUCCACCUGUCUGUCGCCUCUGUUGUUCCGCCUCGUUCUUCUCUUCCCUCAAGGUCAUCUGAGCUGGCGAACACAUUAUUUACUACCGAUGCUCUAUUUACUCCGAGCUGGUCUGUACUUGCCGACAUUCCCUGCCCAGUAUUUGUAUAUUUUUCCACUUUUCUGUGAGAUGUAAAACCCGAAAGCCUGUUGUAGUGUCACCCUUUUCCUUCAUGUAAUAUUCUGAAAUAAACAUUAACCAUCACCAUUGUUGUGUAUUUAACGUUAGGGUCACGUUUAGGAUUUUGUGUAGGGAGUUAAAAUAAUGUUACUUUUUAUGUGUUUACUUAUAGAUGUAUAAAAAAAAAUUCUGCAUGGUUAUGGUAAAACACGAAAACAAAGCAUCCUCAGCAGUGUCCAAGCUUUGAAUUUCGGGAUAAAUAAAAAAAAAAAAAAGGUCUCCAUGUGUUCGUAAUUUAUUUUUGUUUCACCACCAAAUGUUUUUUGGUCCUCAAGCUGUUGUCCUUAAGCUCAAGAGUAGUAAAGGAAUAGGGCGUGGUGGUGGUACGUGGUGGCUACUGUGUUCCUGACGUCAUGGUUGCUCCAUUCAGAUGAUCUUCCCUGCCUCGCGGAAGUGGUCCUGCCGUGCUCCCAUUCAAGUGUUCUUGAUCUAAGAGCUGAGGUGGGUACACUGUACACCACUGAGUGGCUGGACUUGACCUGCAUGCAUCUGCUGCCUCUCUACAGGUACCCUCACUACUGAAAGGGGAUCUUAACCAACCAACCUGUCUCCCAGGAUGUCCUGCAUAAACUUGCUUUGUGAUCCACCACUUCAUGAAUGAUGGAUCAUCUUUAGGAAGAGAAACUCCUUCAGUUCCAUGAAUGUCUGAUUGAAUGAAUGUAAAUGAAAACCGUUUGUGUAAUUUCUUUUGAAUAAAUCUAUAAUCAGAAAA